AAAAUCCGAUUCACGCUCAGAAGAGUACAUCAAAACUCAUCAUCGUGAUUAGAGAGACGUAACGCUUUCAAAUCACAUUUCCUAGUUAGGUACUAUAGAAAUGAUCCCUGAAAGUAUAGUCUUAAAUAUUCUCUUCUUCACACAGUCAAGCACUUCAAAUCAAACACAUAUCAUGUUGAUGGUAGAUUUUUUUAGUUAACUCAUGAGAUGCACGAUAUCGAACAACUAUUUAUACCGAGUAUUCUACACACGAAAUUAACUGACGUUCAUUCCUAAUAAACGCAGAAAAUUGUUUUUUUUAAUUGAAAUAAAUAAAUAUCCCCAACAUGCUUUGCGCUUUUUCAGCUUUCAUUGGUGCUCGCAGGUCACGUGGUACUGUCCCUUUAAAAUGAUGGUUGACAAGCUUAUUGCGCCACCGUGUAGGUAACCCGUGAUUCGUAUCAAAAAGUACCAUUUCUCACACUAUUAAUAUGUUAAAACACAAAUUAUGUUCUUUAAAAGAUGGUAAGUUCAAACGCCAUGCCGUUAAGGGAACGGAAUUGAACCGGAAGUACGUCUUUUAAACACGACCGCCGGAAACUAAUGAUCUAGUUCAUGUUCCGGACUACCCAAGAAUCUUGGCUUCAAUAAUAUCAAUUUAGCGAGAGAGGGCUGUCCACUUCCGAAGUGUCUGACACUAAUGUGGAACUCGUCAAUCCUGCAGGAAUUACGUAUUUUUGUAGGACACCCCAGAAGUUAACAUCACCCUGGAGACUCUGCCAUAGUGAUGGAUACCAUCCCCAGUGGUGCUAUUGCAGCUAAAUCUUUACCCUCUUUUAUCUCUUUGUCACCUCCAUGUCAAACAGCAAUAGGCAAAGUUUGCUUUUUGUGCAGUCCUUCUCUCAGGAAUAGAAAGAUUAGACAACUCUUUCAGAAAUAUAUAAUUACUGUCCCUUCUGUAUUAUCUUAUUGGGGUAAUUAUCUUAAUGAUAUUCCUUGGAAGAAAGUGUGGUCUUUACCCUACAAAUAUUUAAUCACUAAUAAGGUUAAAAAGGUAUCUUUCAAGUUGCUACAAAGAUUUUACCCCGUCAAUCUUUAUAUUAAAAAAGUUUCCUGAGAAACCUUUGCUCCUUUUGUGGAUAAGGAGCUUCUUUCUUAGACAAUUUUCCUUUGUUGUUUAAGGAUGUCCUAUUUGGCUUUUAUAACUUUAACAAGAAUUCAAAAGAUAAGUAUUUUCGAAUAAAUCUUAAUUUUUCUAGCAAAGUUGUUUAAUACAUAAGUGCAAAUGUUUGUUUAUAAAACCCCUCUUUAUUAUUUUUUGUAAAGAUUUGAAAUGCUACUUGGAUACUAUCUCUAGCCUACCUCAAGCAACGUCAAAGCCUUAAAAUCCUUUACGUUGUGUACAAUGUAUAAUAUUUAUGCUUUUUUUUUUUUUUUUUUAAAUAAUGUACAUUUGAUUGUGUUCCAUAUAAAAGGGAGGGAGGGAAAUAAGGAAAAUAUAAUUAGAGGACUCAAGGUAUUUUUUUUUCUUUUUUCUACUUUCAUUUAUUGUAAAUUAUAUUAGCCAUGGCCCAUUGUUUUGUUUUUUUUUCCUGGUUCUUUGUUUACUCAUUACAUUUUUGCUGUUGUUAAUGUAUGUUGAGAGUUGUAAACAUGUGUAUGUGUAUUUACUUUUGUAUAUGCUAAGAAAAAAUAAAGGCAUCACCCUGGUUCCCUCGA